rnacentral:rRNA from 1 species
GACGAACGCUGGCGGCGUGCUUAACACAUGCAAGUCGAACGGAAAGGCCCUGCUUUUGUGGGGUGCUCGAGUGGCGAACGGGUGAGUAACACGUGAGUAACCUGCCCUUGACUUUGGGAUAACUUCAGGAAACUGGGGCUAAUACAGGAUAGGAGCUCCUGCUGCAUGGUGGGGGUUGGAAAGUUUCGGCGGUUGGGGAUGGACUCGCGGCUUAUCAGCUUGUUGGUGGGGUAGUGGCUGACCACGGCUUUGACGGGUAGCCGGCCUGAGAGGGUGACCGGCCACAUUGGCCCUGGGGUACGGCCCGUAGGGAUACGGGAGGCAGGAGUGGGGAAUAUAGCGAAAUGGGCGGAGGGCGGAAGGAGCAACGCCGCGUGGGGGAUCACUGCCUUCGGGUUGUAAACCGCGUUCGCGUGUCUCGAAGCGUGAGUAACGUUAAUGGGUAAAGAAGCACCGCUUACCUCGUU